UACGUAGGGUGCGAGCGUUAAUCGGAAUUACUGGGCGUAAAGCGUGCGCAGGCGGUUAUGUAAGACAGAUGUGAAAUGCCCGGGCUUAACCUGGGAACUGCAUUUGUGACUGCAUGGCUAGAGUGUGUCAGAGGGGGGUAGAAUUCCACGUGUAGCAGUGAAAUGCGUAGAUAUGUGGAGGAAUACCGAUGGCGAGGGCAGCCCCCUGGGAUAACACUGACGCUCAUGCACGAAAGCGUGGGGAGCAAACAGG
rnacentral:rRNA from 1 species